rnacentral:rRNA from 1 species
GGUUUGAUUCUUCAGAUUGAACGCUAAAGGGAUGCCUUACACAUGCAAGUCGAACGGCAGCACGGACUUCGGUCUGGUGGCGAGUGGCGAACGGGUGAUAAUGUAUCGGAACGUGCCUAGUAGCGGGGGAUAACUACGCGAAAGCGUGAAGCACACCGCAUACGCCCUUCGGGGGAAAGCGGGGACCUUUCGGGCCUCGCACUAUUAGAGCGGCCGAUAUCGGAUUAGCUAUGGGGUAACGGCUCACCAAGGCGACGAUCCGUAGCUGGUUUGAGAGGACGACCAGCCACACUGGGACUGAGACACGGCCCAGACUCCUACGGGAGGCAGCAGUGGGGAAUUUUGGACAAUGGGGGAAACCCUGAUCCAGCCAUCCUGCGUGUGCGUGAUGAAGGCCUUCGCUGUGUGCUAAUCUUUUGGCAGGAAAGAAACGACACGAGCAAUACCCCGUGCAACUGACGGUACCUGCAGAAUAAGCACCGGCUAACUACGUGCCAGCAGCCGCGGUAAUACGUAGGGGUGCAAGCGUUAAUCGGAAUUACUGGGCGUAAAGCGUAUGCAGGCGGUUCGGAAAGAAAGAUGUGAAAUCCCAGAGCUUAACUUUGGAACUGCAUUUUUAACUACCGAGCGAGUGUGUCACUGAGUGGAGGAACGCGUGUAGCAGUGAAAAUGCAGAUAUGCGGGAGGAACACCAUGGCGAAGGCAGCCUCCUGGGAUAACACUGACGCUCAUGCACGAAAGCGUGGGGAGCAAAACAGGAUUAGAUACCCUGGUAGUCCACGCCUCAAACGAUGUCAACUAGCCGUUGGGGCCUUCGGGCCUUGGUAGCGCAGCUAACGCGUGAAGUUGACCGCCUGGGGAGUACGGUCGCAAGACUAAAACUCAAAGGAAUUGACGGGGACCCGCACAAGCGGUGGAUGAUGUGGAUUAAUUCGAUGCAACGCGAAAAACCUUACCUACCCUUGACAUGUCUGGAAUCCCGAAGAGAUUUGGGAGUGCUCGCAAGAGAACCGGAACACAGGUGCUGCAUGGCUGUCGUCAGCUCGUGUCGAGAUGUUGGGUUAAGUCCCGCAACGAGCGCAACCCUUGUCAUUAGGUUACACGAAAGGGCACCCAUCGAGACUGCCGGUGACAAACCGGAGGAAGGUGGGGAUGACGUCAAGUCCUCAUGGCUCCCAGGGUAGGGCUUCACACGUCAUACAAUGGUCGGGACAGAGGGUCGCCAACCCGCGAGGGGGAGCCAAUCCUAGAAACCCGAUCGUAGUCCGGAUCGCAGUCUGCAACUCGACUGCGUGAAGUCGGAAUCGCUAGUAAUCGCGGAUCAGCAUGUCGCGGUGAAUACGUUCCUGGUCUUGUACACACCGCCCGUCACACCAUGGGAGUGGGUUUUACCAGAAGUAGUUAGCCUAACCGUAAGGAGGGCGAUUACCACGGUAGGAUUCAUGACUGGGGUGAAGUCGUAACAAGGUAG